AUUGAACGCUGGCGGCAGGCCUAACACAUGCAAGUCGAACGAGUGGCGGACGGGUGAGUAAUGUCUGGGAAACUGCACGAGGGUGGGGGAUAACUACUGGAAACGGUAGCUAAUACCGCAUACCAUCGGAUGUGCCCAGAUGGGAUUAGCUAGUAGGUGGGGUAACGGCUCACCUAGGCGACGAUCCAUAUGUGGGCUGAGAGGAUGACCAGCAACCCUGGAACUGCGACACGGUCCAGACUCCUACGGGAGGCAGCAGGGGGUAAUAUUGCACAAUGGGCGCAAGUCUGAUGCAGCCAUGCCGCGUGUAUGAAGAAGGCCUUCGGGUUGUAAAGUACUUUCAGCGAGGAGGCGUUACUCGCAGAAGAAGCACCGGCUAACUCCGUGCCAGCAGCCGCGGUAAUAC
rnacentral:rRNA from 1 species